GGAAGUGUGGCCGAGCGGUUGAAGGCACCGGUCUUGAAAACCGGCGAGGGGAAACCCUCCCAGAGUUCGAAUCUCUGCGCUUCCG
rnacentral:tRNA from 3 species